CAGUAUUCACUGUGUUAGCUUAUAUCAUGCUUUCGAUUCGGUUUAUCUAAAGAACCCAAAAUUCGGCUUCUUCUGUAUUAGCUUCUUCUCUUACUAAUCAACCACAAGAAGUCAAGGCAGCUAAACAAAACCCAAAGAAGAAACAGUAUCGGCCGUUCUCUACCCAGCGACGAUAUUUGAAAUAGGCUCUCCCUCCCCAUUGGUUCCUCAAAUGAUCCUUCAACUGCAUAGCUGAUACCAGAUGAAUAACCAAGUACUCGAUGUGCAAGAAAAAUUAGCCAUGGUUGCUUUUGCCUAUCAACUGAUGCAAGCAAUGCUCAAUGAACUUGUAUUGCUUGGUUCCUUCCCUCCAGUCAUGUUUAGUGUCAGCUAUAAAGUUUAUUCUUAAUAUCUUUGUUCACAUGUCAAAGAUAUUUUACUCACCAUAAAUAAAAAACAAUUGUCAAAUGAGUAAAGCAUCAAAUUACAGGGAAUAAAGAAACAAAAUGCAGAAGUACA